rnacentral:rRNA from 1 species
AUGGGCAACUGCUGCGCGGGAUCCGGGGAUGCGGAGCCCGCCGCCGCCGCCGACCCCUCCACGCGCCGCGCCGGCGCCUCCGUGCAGGCCGGCGGCGCCUCGCCCUCCUCCGCGCCCGCCCAGAACAAGCCGCCGGCCGCCAUCGGCCCCGUGCUCGGCCGCCCCAUGGAGGACGUGCGCAGCAUCUACACCGUCGGUAAGGAGCUCGGCCGCGGCCAGUUCGGGGUCACCAGCCUCUGCACGCACAAGGCCACGGGCCAGAAGUUCGCCUGCAAGACCAUCGCCAAGCGCAAGCUGUCCACCAAGGAGGACGUGGAGGACGUGCGGCGCGAGGUGCAGAUCAUGUACCACCUCGCGGGGCAGCCCAACAUCGUGGAGCUCAAGGGCGCCUACGAGGACAAGCAGUCCGUGCACCUCGUCAUGGAGCUCUGCGCCGGCGGCGAGCUCUUCGACCGGAUCAUCGCCAAGGGCAAGUACACGGAGCGCGCCGCCGCAUCCCUGCUCCGCACCAUCGUCGAGAUCAUCCACACCUGCCACUCCCUCGGCGUCAUCCACCGCGACCUCAAGCCCGAGAACUUCCUCCUGCUCAGCAAGGAGGAGGACGCGCCGCUCAAGGCCACCGACUUCGGGCUAUCCGUCUUCUACAAGCAAGGGGAGGUGUUCAAGGACAUCGUGGGCAGCGCCUACUACAUCGCGCCGGAGGUCCUGAAGCGGAACUACGGGCCGGAGGCGGACAUAUGGAGCGUCGGCGUCAUCGUCUACAUCCUUCUCUGCGGUGUCCCUCCCUUCUGGGCAGAAUCGGAGCACGGCAUCUUCAAUUCCAUCCUGAGGGGGCAGAUCGACUUCAGCAGCGACCCAUGGCCACGCAUUUCGCCCGGCGCCAAGGACCUCGUCAGAAAGAUGCUCAACUCUGACCCCAAGAAAAGGAUAUCAGCCUACGACGUCCUCAACCAUCCUUGGAUCAAGGAAGACGGAGAGGCGCCUGACACGCCGCUGGACAACGCCGUCAUGAACAGGCUCAAGCAGUUCAAGGCUAUGAACCAGUUCAAGAAAGCUGCGCUAAGGGUCAUCGCCGGAUGCCUGUCGGAGGAAGAGAUCAGGGGUCUCAAGGAGAUGUUCAAGAGCAUGGACUCGGACAACAGCGGCACCAUCACCGUCGACGAGCUCCGGAAGGGUCUGGGAAAACAGGGGACCAAGCUCACGGAGGCCGAAGUGGAGCAGCUCAUGGAAGCCGUAAGAGCCGACGCCGACGGGAGCGGGACGAUCGACUACGACGAGUUCAUCACGGCGACGAUGCACAUGAACAGGAUGGACCGGGAAGAGCACCUCUACACCGCCUUCCAGUACUUCGACAAGGACAACAGCGGCUACAUUUCCAAGGAGGAGCUCGAGCAGGCCCUUCGGGAGAAGGGGCUCCUGGACGGCAGAGACAUGAAUGAAAUCGUGUCGGAAGUCGACGCCGACAACGACGGGAGGAUCGACUACAGCGAGUUCGUGGCGAUGAUGAGGAAAGGGGCCCCCGAGGGGGCCAACCCCAAGAAACGGCGCGACGUCAUGCUAUAG